AAAUUGUCAGAGUGUCAAAUUGUCAACGGAGUGUAUUGUGGAAAAUCUGCUUCGUCCAAAAAAGCAAACACACGUCGCCUGAGAGAUUCGAACUCUCGCGGGGAAACCCCAUGUACUUAGCAGGCACACGCCUUAACCACUCGGCCAAAGCGACUUGAUGAUGACAUGCAACAUAACUUUUACUAUUAUUAUAUACGAAUAAAGAGGGUAAGAAUUCUCCUUGCUUUAGGGAAGUUUUUAUUUUUUUUUAUUUUUUAUAUUAUUAUUAUUAUUAUUAUUUAAGGUAAGAAGAAAUCUCUUGCAAGUAAGGGGAAAAUUAGAGAUUCCACUUACUCGAGGUGAGAAUCGAACUCCUCUCAUAGGGAUGGAAGGAGGGUCUCUAACCACUAAGCCUACCUUGAUUCUCACCUUUAGAGAAGUUGAUAGAUUGUAACAUUUUUAAGAGAAGCUAAUACUCGUAUUCUACUCUAUAUAAUUAUACGAGUAAUUAUUAUUUAGGUUCACUAGAAGAAAAAAGGUAAUGGGAAGCCACAAAUUGGAAGCGGUUAUUAAAAUCCGCUUCCAAUUCCCUACAAAAACCCGGCCAAAAAAAAAGGGGAUAGAAUUGGAAGCAGUUUGGGCCGCUCCCAAAAAUGUAAUGGGAAGCGGUUCAAACUCCAAACCGCUGCCCUUUCUAAAAAAAAAUAGCGGGAUCCAAAAUAAAAUAUGAACCCUUCCCCGCUUUUCCUUCAUUUCGCGUUCUCCUUUCACUCUCCUUCUCCUCAAAGAUGAAGGCAACCAUAGCCGCAGCUGCAACCACAUCCAUAACCACCGCCGCUCACAGAUUAAAUUCUCUCUUUCUUCUCCCUCCUCAUUCACUAAUGGUCACGGUGGUCGCGAGAGAUAACGACGUUGUGGUUUGAUUUCUAGGGUUUUUAUUGGUGUUCAUGGUAUGAGCUUCUUUAAACUUUCCCCUUUAGAUUUCAAAUUUAAGGUUUCUUUGCAUAUUUCUCUAAAAUUCCUGUUAUUUGUGCCAUAGGCGGUCAGAGGGAAAGAAGGGGUGGUAGAAGCUGUGGACGGGCCCGUAAUCCUGCUGAAAAGAUAAUUGACCUCGCAACAUUAACUGGAGCCUGUGUUGUUGCUCUGGGACCUUCCAUAGCAGGUGUCUUUACACCCAAUGAUGCACUUGCCAAAGAGGUGUUUUCUGCAUCAGGAGCUACUGGAGAGAAACUCUGGAGGAUGCCUUUGGAAGAAAGUUACUUGGACUCAAUGAAAUCAGGAGUUGCUGAUAUGGUUAACACAGGAGGUCGUCAAGGUGGUUCCAUCACAGCAGCUUUGUUUUUGAAGCAGAAAAUCGAAGGUUGUUUUGAGCUAUUCCGUCAACAGCAAGACGCACAAAUGACGGUGAACAACACAACCCAAGCUCAGUUAUUUGAGGAACUCCGCAACCUCAUAACCCAGAGGAACCACGAUCAAGGCUGCACAGCCUGCCUGGGCUGGCUGUGCGACCUGCCAGGGCUGGCUGUGCAG